CGCCCGCAAUCUCCGCUCUUCACCCUCCGACCUCUGCCUCCGCUUCCACGGCCUCCCACCAUUACGACUCAUGAUUCUACUCUGAAUUCUCCAAUUAAUAUACUAAUUAUCCAACCCAUUGGCCAAAAUAUGUUUUUGUGAAAUUGCACCAUUUUUUUCUGCGCGUUCGUACUUUUUCCACUCGCGUGGUGAGCCCCCGAAAAGCUGCCCGGAACAAGCCCAGAGGAACACACCAAGUUACCACGCCCGUUACCCCUCCGAAUGAAUCUUGGUAGAGCGCUGGGGUGAAAAUAUCUCGCACUAGGCCCCGCUGGAGGGGCCUAGCGUUUCUGAUUCUUCUCGCUUGCUUCAAUUCCAGGUGUAAAUCCUCUCCGUGCAGAGAGAAGCAAGACCAAACGGUUACAUACUACAAUGGCCAACUCUCCCAGUAUGGCUACGGCUAU
rnacentral:sRNA from 1 species